rnacentral:lncRNA from 1 species
UGUAUAAUAUUUUUAUAUCGCAUAAUUUCUCGUAAACAUACAUUAUUAAUUGUAAUCCUGAGAGAGGGAGCCAAUAAGCCAAAAAGGCAUACAUUUAUACUAAUAUUAAUCAAUGAUCUUUCCGUAAAAAGGAGAAACGUACAAGUGCCAUACUUUAUAAUACUAUAUAAAUGAAAGAAACGUUUUCUCUAUCGUUAUCGAGAAGAAGCUUAUCUUGGAAUUCGAUAUCUUAGAGUCGCGGCCAAAGAGCAGUUGCGUUUUCAAGGGCCCACGAUAAACACAAUACGCGUCGCGCGAUGGCCUUGCCGUCAUUUGUGCUAUCGGAAAUUUAAUUUACGCGGCGAUACCACGACGGUGUAUUGAAAUUUCGCGCGAUAAUUCGCCGUACUUACUUGCAAUCGCGAACGAAUGUUGUCGAUGAGUAAUGCGGCUACGUCGAUCGCAAGAAUAUUAUUCCCGCGUGUGCACGCGCAGGGAAACAUACACGUUAAAGCCCAUUAAAAGAAAAAUGUGGAGACGUGCUGCUAAUAAGAAAUACAUUGCCACAGGAAGACAAGACGAUUUCUCAAGGAUACUUUUGUAAAGAUCGUCUGAGACUCUCGGCGAGAUCUUGACUCGAUCCUCCGAGCGCUGAUCAAUGGUGGUCAGAGAAGGCUUACUUAAAACGCGAUUAAUCGCUUAUCGCUUGAGAUUAAUCAGAUCAUCCGAAUGAGUCUAAUUCGGAUCAUAAAAUUUAACAGAUGUGUUCUUUAUCUGGCACGAACUUGAUUUUUCCCUUGUUCGUGUCAUUCAAUAUAGGUUAUCAGUGUAGAUUAUAGAAUUAAUGUUGGAGUAGGGCUCUGGGAUCGCUCUUUCUAUCUUUUCACACUUUCUCUAGAUAUGUAAAAGCGACUUCUGCGAGAUUAAUCGUUCGCUUUUAUCUCGAUUGAAUUGAUUAAUGUUUGCCCGGCCAAUUCAGAUGAUAAUCGUGACACUCCAGAUUUCGACGUUCAAUGAAGAAAACGUAAUUGGUCACGUGUCUUCGAUAAUUUUUUACCGGAUUUUCGCCGCAGCUCUGCGCUCGCUGCAACCGCUGAUUUUUUUUUUUCACCUCGUUCCGCAUAUUGAUUUCCAUUUCCAAUUAUUGAAAUAGCUCGCGCGGACAUGCGGUAUAUUGUACGAUUGUUCCGCGGGCGGAAUUAGCGAUAAUCCUCGGUUUUUUUCCCUUCAGCGUGGAUUUUCCUGGCAUUAUGUAACGAACGCGUGCGAUAUUGCGCCAUCGAUAAUGCCAGAAUACACAUCGUAUCGUACGCGAUCAUCCUUCGCGGCGGUAUAUGUAUACCGCUCAAUUGUGAGAAAAUCGCCGUACCGCGUCAUUGCGUGAAUCACGGUUCUUUCGAGACUUCUUGACAUUUCCUCUUCGAAUAUUUACCCGUCACUCGGGGACACUCCGCGCUCGUGCGAGCCGUGAACGCGGCGUGUUAUGAAACCUUGCGCAAUUAUCUGCGCGUUUCACGUGUCUUACCGUGUAUAUAUUAUUUAAAACAUCGCGGAAAGAAAAAAAAAAGAGGAGAAAAAAGCUACAGCGUGCGCGAUCAAGAUUGAAAGAAAUCUCCGACGGGACGAUCGCAAUUUGAAUUGUUAAGUUUGUUGAAUCAGAGAUGAACUCGUUUGCGCGGAAAAUUGGAAAAAAAAAAAAA